rnacentral:rRNA from 1 species
UACAGGGGGGGCAAGCGUUGUUCGGAAUUACUGGGCGUAAAGGGCCUGUAGGUGGCCAACUAAGUCAGACGUGAAAUCCCUCAGCUUAACUGGGGAACUGCGUCUGAUACUGGAUGGCUCGAGUGUGGGAGAGGAAUGCGGAAUUCCAGGUGUAGCGGUGAAAUGCGUAGAUAUCUGGAGGAACACCGGUGGCGAAGGCGGCAUUCUGGACCAUAACUGACGCUGAGAGACGAAAGCCAGGGGAGCAAACGGG